CCUCUGCUCACCAGGGUACCAAUAUAACAUGUCGACCUACCCCCCUCUGCUCACCAGGGUUCCAAUAUAACAUAUCAAACUACCCCUCCUCUGCUCAUCAGGGUUCGUUAAGCAAGAUUUGUUGGGUAAUUUUAAAUAGUUACACAGGUAAAGAAAUCAUAAUGUAAUAAAGUCAAUGGUUGACCAAUUAAGUGCUAUAUGUGAUCUCUAACAUAUUGGGACAAACAGACUAUGGCCAAGGCACAAGCAGCAGGCAGGCGGUUUCCCUGGUAAUGCUGAUGUUCCUUAGGGCUACAGGCUCGUCAGCUAAAGCUUGAACAGAAACAAUAAUAUCAACACAAUAACAUGUCUUUUGAAACAAGUUAAAAACAAACAAACAUGAUUAAGCAUGAACACAAUGCACUCCUUUUGAAGCUUAUCGUAUCAACAUGGACACUCAAUCAUACUCAAACUGCUGUAUUUGGGUUUAAAACAUUUUUUAAAAGCCUUUGCAACUUCCAAAAAAACAUGACCUCCUGUCUGUCUUUAAAGCUAGAGGUUCAGCCUUCCUGUUUGUUGGAAUGGAAACAGACAAAGAAAACAUGACCUCCUGUCUGUCUUUAAAGCUAGAGGUUCAGCCUUCUUGUUUGUUGGAAUGGAAACAGACAAAGAAAACAUGACCUCCUGUCUGUCUUUAAAGCUAGAGGUUCAGCCUUCCUGUUUGUUGGAAUGGAAACAGACAAAAAAGAAAACAUGACCUCCUGUCUGUCUUUAAAGCUAGAGGUUCAGCCUUCUUGUUUGUUGGAAUGGAAACAGACAAAGAAAACAUGACCUCCUGUCUGUCUUUAAAGCUAGAGGUUCAGCCUUCUUGUUUGUUGGAAUGGAAACAGACAAAGAAAACAUGACCUCCUGUCUGUCUUUAAAGCUAGAGGUUCAGCCUUCCUGUUUGUUGGAAUGGAAACAGACAAAGAAAACAUGAUGAGAAGUGCACAAGAAACUCACGUUGAGCUGACAGAAUGGCCAGGCUAGAGUGGGAGAGAAAAUGACUUUGAAAACUUAAACAGAUCCUGCUCAAACACAUGUUGUGUUGAUACAUUCACAUUGUCAUGUGGUGGGGAGAGUGAAGUCCUUUGUAUCGAUGAUGACAUUUCAUAUACGUAAACACAUCUCCUGUCCAUCUGAAUGGACCCUCAGCUGCAGCCACUAUGCCACUAACACACAGUCUGAACUAGGGCUGUGGCGGUCAUGACAUUUUGUCAGCCGGUGAUUGUCAAGCAAAUAACUGACGGACUCACGGUAAUUUACCGUUAAUUAACAUAAACAUACUUAGCAUCUCCUGGCUUCCACACAUAGUCUACAAGCCACUUAUGCAGAAUUUUG
ensembl:lncRNA